AGCUCCGUCGAGAGGAGUUGAAACCCGCACCUUUUUUAAACUUUCAAAACUCGAACGAAAACGCAUCAAAACGUAGUACUUUCUCAUACUGCCUCCUGUUUUUUCUUUUCUAUAAAUAGAGGUUUUGUCAGCUUUUCGUCUAUGCGUCUUCCCAUUGUUCAGCUUGACAUCUGCGUGAAUGGCUUGGCGAAGGGUGGGGAAGAAAGGACUUGAGUCCAGUCUCAUUAGAGCUCUUGCUUCUGCAUCUGUAGGAGCUGCAGCUGGGAUAAGGUCUACACCUAGUCUUGAUCUUGGACUAAAAUCAAUUACUGCUUCUGUUAAAUGCAUACAUGACUCGUCUUUCAAUUCGUUUAUAUGGGGAUAUAGGUAUCAUAAAGUUUUGAACAAUGAACCUUUAAUACGGUAAUUUCAUGCAAUUCCA